rnacentral:lncRNA from 1 species
AAUUCUCCUGCCUCAACCUCCCAAGUAGCUGCUAUUACAGAUGCAGCUGGAAUCAAAGUCCCACCAAGGGGAGGAGACAGGGACCCCAAAGGCACCUGCUAUCUUUAUCAAUAGAGAACAGACAAUAAUGGGACACCAGUGCUGUGGAAUGGUGUGCAGGCGUUUGAAGGAGGGAGGUCAGGCCACACAGGCUGUCCUGGAAAGGCAUCCAGGCAAGAAUACAGAUGUGAUGGCUGGAGGUCCAGCAGCUAUCAUGGACCCUGAAGUGAUCUGGAGGCUAGACAUCACACCCUAAGAAUGGCAGAGCUGAAAGGCAGAGGAAACAUGAGUCUCUGGUGAUACUAUGAAGCUUCUAGUCCAGCCCUGAACACAAUAAAAGUUUUUCUUUCUCAGGGUCUCUACAGGGAGACAAGAGGGGUAUUCUUCUUAUCUAUGUCACCGAUGGGCUGAUGCUGAUGGAGUAACCACCAUGUUGAACAUCACUCUAUUAGAGCCCUGGAGGGUACUGGUAACUAAAUAUUUAGCCUGGAUGUCAAAUCACUUCUACUCAUUGGCCAGAACUAGCCCCAUGGCUCCGUCUAAUCAAUGGUAAGACAGCCAGGAAAUGUCAUCCUGCCAAGUACCCAGAAGGCAGGGAGCAGAAGGAGGUCCAGUGAUCAUCAUUAAGAAAUCAAGUUGGGGCUGGGCGUGGUGGCUCACGCUUGUAAUCCCACCACUGUGAGAGGCCAA